rnacentral:rRNA from 1 species
UACAGAGACUGCAAGCGUUAUUCGGAUUCACUGGGCGUAAAGGGUGCGCAGGCGGCCGUGUGUGUGAGGUGUGAAAUCCCGGGGCUUAACCCCGGAACUGCGCCUUAAACUACACGGCUAGAGCAUUGGAGAGGGAAGUGGAAUUCACGGUGUAGCAGUGAAAUGCGUAGAUAUCGUGAGGAACACCAGUGGCGAAGGCGACUUCCUGGACAAUUGCUGACGCUCAGGCACGAAAGCGUGGGGAGCAAAAGGG